rnacentral:rRNA from 1 species
GAUGAACGCUGGCGGCGUGCCUAAUACAUGCAAGUCGAGCGAACGGACGAGAAGCUUGCUUCUCUGACGUUAGCGGCGGACGGGUGAGUAACACGUGGAUAACCUACCUAUAAGACUGGGAUAACUUCGGGAAACCGGAGCUAAUACCGGAUGAUAUAUUGAACCGCAUGGUUCAAAAGUGAAAGACGGUCUUGCUGUCACUUAUAGAUGGAUCCGCGCCGCAUUAGCUAGUUGGUAAGGUAACGGCUUACCAAGGCAACGAUGCGUAGCCGACCUGAGAGGGUGAUCGGCCACACUGGAACUGAGACACGGUCCAGACUCCUACGGGAGGCAGCAGUAGGGAAUCUUCCGCAAUGGGCGAAAGCUUGACGGAGCAACGCCGCGUGAGUGAUGAAGGUCUUCGGAUCGUAAAACUCUGUUAUUAGGGAAGAACAAAUGUGUAAGUAACUAUGCACGUCUUGACGGUACCUAAUCAGAAAGCCACGGCUAACUACGUG